rnacentral:lncRNA from 1 species
AAAUGGUUUAAUUAUUUAUGGCAAGGAUUAAUUAAUAUGUUAAUUAAUCAAACGAAUAAGUUCGUUGAAGACCUCGGGAUAGUUUUGGACCUUAAGGCCCAAUGGGCUUCGAACGUCAAGCCCAUUGACUUAAGUUGUAUGACAAUUUAAUGAAUAAAGAUUCACAAAGGCCCAAAAGCCCAAAUCCCUUAUGUGGCCGGCCAUGUGUGUUGAAUUAGGGUUUUUUGGUUCUUUAGGU